GUUGGUGAUUGCCAUCAGCGAGGUAUAGAGUUCCUACGUUGCGAGUUCGAAAUCGGUAGGAACUUCAUACCGUGCUCUUGGCUAGCCGAAAUUC
rnacentral:pre_miRNA from 14 species